UACGAAGGGGGCUAGCGUUGCUCGGAAUUACUGGGCGUAAAGGGCGCGUAGGCGGUCAGCUUAGUCAGAGGUGAAAGCCCAGGGCUCAACCUUGGAACUGCCUUUGAUACUGGCUGUCUUGAGUUCGGGAGAGGUGAGUGGAAUGCCGAGUGUAGAGGUGAAAUUCGUAGAUAUUCGGCGGAACACCAGUGGCGAAGGCGACUCACUGGCCCGAUACUGACGCUGAGGCGCGAAAGCGUGGGGAGCAAACAGG
rnacentral:rRNA from 1 species